rnacentral:SRP_RNA from 1 species
GCCGGGUGUGGUGGCAUACACCUGUAGUCCCAGCUACUUGGGAGGCUGAGGUGGGGGGAUCGCUUGAACCCAGGAGUUCAAGGCUGCAGCGAGCCAUGAUUGUGCCACUGCACCCCAGCCCGGGUGACAAAGUGAGACUCUGUCUCAA